rnacentral:rRNA from 1 species
GGGUUGUGAGGUUAAGCGACUAAGCGUACACGGUGGAUGCCCUGGCAGUCAGAGGCGAUGAAGGACGUGCUAAUCUGCGAUAAGCGCCGGUAAGGUGAUAUGAACCGUUAUAACCGGCGAUUUCCGAAUGGGGAAACCCAGUGUGAUUCGUCACACUAUCAUUAACUGAAUCCAUAGGUUAAUGAGGCGAACCGGGGGAACUGAAACAUCUAAGUACCCCGAGGAAAAGAAAUCAACCGAGAUUCCCCCAGUAGCGGCGAGCGAACGGGGAGGAGCCCAGAGCCUGAAUCAGCAUGUGUGUUAGUGGAAGCGUCUGGAAAGGCGCGCGAUACAGGGUGACAGCCCCGUACACAAAAGCGCAUGUGCUGUGAGCUCGAUGAGUAGGGCGGGACACGUGGUAUCCUGUCUGAAUAUGGGGGGACCAUCCUCCAAGGCUAAAUACUCCUGACUGACCGAUAGUGAACCAGUACCGUGAGGGAAAGGCGAAAAGAACCCCGGCGAGGGGAGUGAAAAAGAACCU